rnacentral:rRNA from 1 species
AGUGAACGCUGGCGGUAGGCCUAACACAUGCAAGUCGAACGGCAGCACAGUAAGAGCUUGCUCUUACGGGUGGCGAGUGGCGGACGGGUGAGGAAUACAUCGGAAUCUACUUUUUCGUGGGGGAUAACGUAGGGAAACUUACGCUAAUACCGCAUACGACCUACGGGUGAAAGCAGGGGAUCUUCGGACCUUGCGCGAUUGAAUGAGCCGAUGUCGGAUUAGCUAGUUGGCGGGGUAAAGGCCCACCAAGGCGACGAUCCGUAGCUGGUCUGAGAGGAUGAUCAGCCACACUGGAACUGAGACACGGUCCAGACUCAUACGGGAGGCAGAAGUGGGGAAUAUUGGACAAUGGGCGAAAGCCUGAUCCAGAAAUACCGCGUGGGUGAAGAAGGCCUUCGGGUUGUAAAGCCCUUUUGUUGGGAAAGAAAAGAAGCAGGUUAAUACCCCGCUGUUCUGACGGUACCCAAAGAAUAAGCAACGGCUAACUUCGUG